rnacentral:rRNA from 1 species
GAUGAACGCUGGCGGCGUGCCUAAUACAUGCAAGUCGAGCGAACAGACGAGGAGCUUGCUCCUCUGACGUUAGAAGCGGACGGGUGAGUAACACGUGGAUAACCUACCUAUAAGACUGGGAUAACUUCGGGAAACCGGAGCUAAUACCGGAUAAUAUAUUGAACCGCAUGGGUCAAUCGUGAAAGACGGUUUUGCUGUCACUUAUAGAUGGAUCCGCGCCGCAUUAGCUAGUUGGUAAGGUCACGGCUUACCAAGGCAACGAUGCGUAGCCGACCUGAGGGGGACGUCGCCCACACUGUAUCUGAGACUCGGCCCACACACUGACGGGAGGCCGCGGUAGGGACUCUUACGCAAGGCGCCAGUGCGUGACGGUGCAACGCCGCGGGAGGGAUGAAGGUCUUCUGAUCCUAGAACUCUGAUAUUAUUAAAGAUCAAAUGUGUAAGUAACUAGGCUCGUAUUGACGGUACCGAAAGAGAAAGCCCCGGCUAACUACGUG